rnacentral:rRNA from 1 species
UGACUGAGUGGCGCACGGGUGAGUAACACGUAUGCAACCUGCCCCUGUCAGGGGGACAACCCGCCGAAAGGCGGGCUAAACCCGCGUACAUGCCACCGGGGCAUCCCGGAGGCAGGAAAGGCUUCGGCCGGACAGGGAUGGGCAUGCGGCGCAUUAGGCAGUAGGCGGGGUAACGGCCCACCUAACCGACGAUGCGUAGGGGUUCUGAGAGGAAGGUCCCCCACACUGGUACUGAGACACGGACCAGACUCCUACGGAAGGCAGCAG